rnacentral:rRNA from 1 species
GAUGAACGCUAGCGGCAGGCCUAAUACAUGCAAGUCGAGGGGCAGCGCGGUAGCAAUACUGGCGGCGACCGGCGCACGGGUGCGUAACACGUAUGCAACCUACCUUCAACUGGAGGAUAGCCCGGGGAAACUCGGAUUAAUACUCCAUAACACAGGGAUCCCGCAUGGGAAUAUUGUUAAAGCUACGGCGGUUGAAGAUGGGCAUGCGUUCGAUUAGCUAGUUGGUGUAGGUAACGGCUCACCAAGGCUACGAUCGAUAGGGGGUCUGAGAGGAUGAUCCCCCACACUGGUACUGAGAUACGGACCAGACUCCUACGGGAGCAGCAGUAGGGAAUAUUGGUCAAUGGGCGCAAGCCUGAACCAGCCAUGCCGCGUGCAGGAAGAAGGCCCUCUGGGUUGUAAACUGCUUUUGAUAGGGACAAAUGCCACUUGCGAGUGGAGCUGAGUGUACCUAUAGAAUAAGCACCGGCUAACUCCGUGCCAGCAGCC